GGGUCUCCAUUCUGCAUUUACUGGUAAGCCCCUGGGGUGCUGUGUGUUUUCUGAAGCUACCACAGCAAGUCACCACAAGGCUGUGACUGACACAACGAAAGCUUGCUGUCAUUCUGCAGACUAGUAGUCCAGCAUGGCCUCAGGGGACAACAUGAAGCCGUUGAUAUGACUGCAUCUCUUACUAGAAGAUUCUUAACCAAUUCCAAAGUCAUCUAGGAUGACAUUUCCUAAUACAGUGUAGAAAAGUCUAAUCUGAGAAUGUGAUGUCACUCACAUUCUCCAGUGGCUUUAUUAGAAUUUCUGUAUUAAAAAAACAUAAGGAAAAACCUCUUGACUGUUAAGGGGGAACUUGAGGAGAACAUCUCCGGGGAUUACUAAAUAUGAUGAUUUGAAGACUUUCUCAAGAUCUUCUCAGCAGGCUUUCAGAAGCUGGCUUCUACUUCUUUGUCUUGCUAGUGACAUUUGGGGACAGUGCUUAGAGGACUCAGGUUGCCUUCCCCUUGCUGCUGGCUUCUGGCCCUCUUCCUUCAUAUCCAAGGGGCCUCACGGAGUGCAGACUCGGUAUUCCAUCGGGCAGUUCUCGGUAAUCUGGUAACACGUGUCCGAUGCCAGUUCCAGUUCUCUGGUUGAAUCUGAUAGGUACAGAUCCCA
ensembl:lincRNA Gm42757 predicted gene 42757